rnacentral:tRNA from 1 species
GUAGUCGUGGCCAGGUGGUUAAGGCGCUGGACUAGAAAUCCAUUGGGGUUUUUCCAUGCAGGUUCGAAUCCUGCAGACUACG